rnacentral:rRNA from 1 species
AUUGAACGCUGGCGGCAUGCUUUACACAUGCAAGUCGAACGGUAACAGGCCGCCAGGUGCUGACGAGUGGCGAACGGGUGAGUAAUGCAUCGGAACGUGCCCAGUCGUGGGGGAUAACUACUCGAAAGAGUAGCUAAUACCGCAUACGAUCUAUGGAUGAAAUCGGGGGACCGUAAGGCCUCGCGCGAUUGGAGCGGCCGAUGUCAGAUUAGGUAGUUGGUGGGGUAAAGGCUCACCAAGCCAACGAUCUGUAGCUGGUCUGAGAGGACGACCAGCCACACUGGGACUGAGACACGGCCCAGACUCCUACGGGAGGCAGCAGUGGGGAAUUUUGGACAAUGGGCGCAAGCCUGAUCCAGCAAUGCCGCGUGCAGGAAGAAGGCCUUCGGGUUGUAAACUGCUUUUGUACGGAACGAAACGGCUCUGGUUAAUACCCGGGGCUAAUGACGGUACCGUAAGAAUAAGCACCGGCUAACUACGUG